rnacentral:rRNA from 1 species
AGCACGUAGGUGGGUUUGUAAGUCAGACGUGAAUGCCUUCUGUUCAACGGAAGAAUUGCAUCUGAAACUACAAACCUUGAGUGUAGGAGGGGGGAAUGGAACUUCUGGUGGAGCGGUGAAAUGCGUAGAUAUCAGAAGGAACGCCGGCGGCGAAAGCGAUUCUCUGGCCUAUUACUGACACUCAGUGUGCGAAAGCUAGGGGAGCAAACGGGAUUAGAUACCCGGUAGUCCUAGCCCUAAACGAUGGGCACUAAGUAGAGGGGUUUU